UACGUAGGUGGCAAGCGUUGUCCGGAUUUAUUGGGCUUAAAGGGUGCGUAGGCGGCUUUGUAAGUCAGUGGUGAAAUAUGGCAGCUCAACUGUCAAGGUGCCAUUGAUACUGCGGAGCUUGAGUACAGAUGAGGUAGGCGGAAUUGACGGUGUAGCGGUGAAAUGCUUAGAUAUCGUCAAGAACACGUAUAGCGAAGGCAGCUUACUAGGCUGUAACUGACGCUGAGGCACGAAAGUGUGGGGAUCAAACAGG
rnacentral:rRNA from 1 species